rnacentral:rRNA from 1 species
GACGAACGCUGGCGGCGUGCCUAAUACAUGCAAGUUGAGCGCUGAAGGUUGGUACUUGUACCGACUGGAUGAGCAGCGAACGGGUGAGUAACGCGUGGGGAAUCUGCCUUUGAGCGGGGGACAACAUUUGGAAACGAAUGCUAAUACCGCAUAAAAACUUUAAACACAAGUUUUAAGUUUGAAAGAUGCAAUUGCAUCACUCAAAGAUGAUCCCGCGUUGUAUUAGCUAGUUGGUGAGGUAAAGGCUCACCAAGGCGAUGAUACAUAGCCGACCUGAGAGGGUGAACGGCCACAUUGGGACUGAGACACGGCCCAAGCUCCUACGGGAGGCAGCCGUAGGGAAUCUUUGGCAAUGGACGAAAGUCUGACCGAGCAACGCCGCGUGAGUGAAGAAGGUUUUCGGAUCGUAAAACUCUGUUGGUAGAGAAGAAAGUUGGUGAGAGUGGAAAGCUCAUCAAGUGACGGUAACUACCCAGAAAGGGACGGCUAACUACGUG